AUUCCAGAGGUGACGUGACGAUGUCGCGUCACUCCGGCAGCAAGCGAAGGUGUCAUUGACACCCGUGGUAUAGUCCCCCCGGCUAUACCACGAUAUUUUUUU
rfam:Vibrio vulnificus YJ016 DNA, chromosome I, complete sequence.